GAGGGGUUGUGGGUUCGAGUCCCACAACCCCUCAGCUUGUUGAGCUGAGGGGUUGUGGGUUCGAGUCCCACAACCCCUCA